UACGUAGGGGGCAAGCGUUGUCCGGAAUCAUUGGGCGUAAAGAGCGUGUAGGCGGCUCGGUAAGUCCGCUGUGAAAGUCCAGGGCUCAACCCUGGGAUGCCGGUGGAUACUGUCGGGCUAGAGUCCGGAAGAGGAGUGUGGAAUUCCUGGUGUAGCGGUGAAAUGCGCAGAUAUCAGGAGGAACACCGGUGGCGAAGGCGGGGCUCUGGGCCGAUACUGACGCUGAGGAGCGAAAGCGUGGGGAGCGAACAGG
rnacentral:rRNA from 1 species